rnacentral:rRNA from 1 species
GAUGAACGCUGGCGGCGUGCUUAACACAUGCAAGUCGAACGGAAAGGCCCAAGCUUGCUUGGGUACUCGAGUGGCGAACGGGUGAGUAACACGUGGGUGAUCUGCCCUGCACUUCGGGAUAAGCCUGGGAAACUGGGUCUAAUACCGGAUAGGACCACAUCUUGGAUGUUGUGGUGGAGAGCUUUUUCGGUGUCGGGUGAGCUCGCGGCCUAUCAGCUUGUUGGUGGGGUAAUGGCCUACGAAGGCGUCGACGGGUAGCCGGCCCGAGUGGGUGUACGGCGACAUUGAGACUGAGAUACGGCACAGGCGGCUACUGGAGGCAGAAGGGGGGAAGAUUGCACAAUGGGCGCAAGCCUGGUGCAGCGGCGCCGCGUGGGGGAUGACGGUCUUCGGGUUGUAAACACCUUUCGCUAGGGACGAAGCGUUUUGUGACGGUACCUGGAGAAGAAGCACCGGCUAACUACGUG